rnacentral:rRNA from 1 species
AUGAACGCUAGCGACAGGCCUAACACAUGCAAGUCAGGGGCAGCACAAGGAGCAAUCUGAGGUGGCGACCGGCGCACGGGUGAGUAACACGUAUGCAACCUGCCUGUAAGCGGGGAAUAACCCGUUGAAAGACGGACUAAUACCGCAUAAUACUAAAUUACUGCAUGGUAAUUUAUUUAAACAUUUAUGGCUUACAGAUGGGCAUGCGCAUGAUUAGCUAGUUGGAGAGGUAACGGCUCCCCAAGGCAACGAUCAUUAGGGGUUCUGAGAGGAAGGUCCCCCACACUGGUACUGAGACACGGACCAGACUCCUACGGGAGGCAGCAGUGAGGAAUAUUGGUCAAUGGACGAUAGUCUGAACCAGCCAAGUCGCGUGCAGGAAGAAUGUCCUAUGGAUUGUAAACUGCUUUUGCAGGGGAAUAAAGUGCAUCACGUGUGAUGUUUUGUAUGUACUCUGCGAAUAAGGAUCGGCUAACUCCGUGCCAGCAGCAGC